CCUACGGGUGGCAGCAGUGGGGAAUAUUGGGCAAUGGGCGCAAGCCUGACCCAGCAAUGCCGCGUGAAGGAAGAAGGCUUUCGGGUUGUAAACUUCUUUGACCUGGGAAGCGCAGCAGACGGUACCCUGAACACCAGCCACGGCUAACUACGUGCCAGCAGCCGCGGUAAUACGUAGGUGGCAAGCGGUGUCCGGAUUUCCUGGGUGUAAAGGGCGUGUAGCCGGGAAGGCAAGUCAGAUGUGAAAUCUGGAGGCUCAACCUCCAAAUUGCAUGUGAAACUGUUUUUCUUGAGUACUGGAGAGGCAGACGGAAGGCCUUGUGUAGCGGUGAAAUGCGUAGAUAUAAGGAGGAACACCAGUGGCGAAGGCGGUCUGCUGGACAGCAACUGACGGUGAGGCGCGAAAGCGUGGGGAGCAAACAGGAUUAGAUACCCUUGUAGUC
rnacentral:rRNA from 1 species